GAAAGGGUGAAACCCUACCUGUUCAAUCAAGGUCAAAAUUCAGCAAAUUAAUGGUGGUUCUUGACACAAAUCGAAUGCAUGAGACUGGAUACAACUUAAUCUAAGUAUAUUGAUCAUAAGGAAUCACAUUAGCAAGGACUCGAAAAUGGAAGGUUAACGGGUCAAGCAGAGGCGAGGAAACAAGCGUGAACACUAACGCUCGAGGUAAGUGACUUUCGAUUCACUUCUUAGUAUACAUAUAGAGUUUUCUUGUUAUGGUUGAAUGGGAUGAUUGAUGUAUAUAAAAUGGCCGACAAGUAGGUAUGUAUGAAUGCAUUUAGGAAAAUUACGUAAGUACAUGCACGUGUGAGCUAAGGUAUGCACGGGUGUAGUUAUGAUUCAUUUUAUGAAUGUAUGUAAGUAUGGAGUUAUGUAUGCAUGUAUGUAUAUAUGUAGGUAUUGGUGUAUGUAUGUACGUAAGUAGUUAUGUAUGAGCAUGAGCAUUAUGUAUUUGAAUAUGAAAGUACAUACGUGUGUAGGUACGAACGUAUAUAUAUAUGUGGAUGCAAGUAAGUAUGUAUGUAUGUAUGUGAGUAGGUAUGUGUGUAUGUAGUUAUGUAUGUAUGUAUGUAAAUACAUAUGCGAAGAUGUAAUCAUGUAUGUAUGUAAUUAGAUGCGUGGGUAUGCAAGUAAAGGUAUGUAUGUAUGUAGAUGUGUAUUAUGCGUAUGCGAAGAUACGUAGGUAUAUAUGAAUGUAUGUAGAGAAGUAGUAAUGCAUGCGCGAAUGUAGAUAUGGGGUUGGUAUAGAAGAAGGUACGUAUGAGUAUAUGUAGGUAUGUAGAAAUAUAGGAGCACAUGUACGUAUGUAGACGCAUAUGUAUACAUGUAAACAUGUACAUGUGCAUGAUUUAGAUACGUAGAAUUUUAACGUUACUAAUUAUGCGUUUGAGGUUGGUAUGUGAUGCAGGAACAAGUACACCGGAUUCUUACGAAACUUAAACCGAACCCGGAAUAAGAGGAUGAGAAAGAAUAAUUGGAUGAAUUAAUGUUAAAUUGACGAACGUUAUUCAAUCUUUAAUUACAUGAUAUUAAUGUUAUAUGAUGUGUUACACGGACUUCUUCUGCUGCUAUGGAAGUGAAGCGGACGUAGAUCGAGUCAAGAGCAAGGAUUGUACGGAUAGAUUGGUCACAUAGUUGAAGUAUAUAACGUUUAGAAAUCUAAAUUUUAGUAUGAAUGUUGUAAAUUCUUUUAUAGUACGUUUAACAUUUUUAGGAUUUGGAUCCUUCGUGAAAGAAAUGUUGUUAAUACGGAAGAAAAUUUUAA
rnacentral:lncRNA from 1 species